rnacentral:rRNA from 1 species
AUUGAACGCUGGCGGCAGGCUUAACACAUGCAAGUCGAGCGAGCGGCGGACGGGUGAGUAAUGUCUGGGAAACUGCCUGAUGGAGGGGGAUAACUACUGGAAACGGUAGCUAAUACCGCAUACCAUCGGAUGUGCCCAGAUGGGAUUAGCUAGUAGGUGGGGUAAAGGCUCACCUAGGCGACGAUCCCUAGCUGGGCUGAGAGGAUGACCCGCCACACUGGAACCGACACACGGCCCAGACUCCUACGGGAGGCCGCAGUGGGGAAUAUUGCACAAGGGGCGCAAGCCUGAUGCAGCCAUGCCGCGUGUAUGAAGAAGGCCCUCGGGUUGUAAAGUACUUUCAGCGGGGAGGCGUUACCCGCAGAAGAAGCACCGCCUAACUCCGUGCCAGCAGCCGCGGUAAAC